UCAUGGGUUUGGAUUUGUGGCAGGUCUGAUUCCAUGGGCUUCUCACAGUGUACCAUGCUAAAGCAAACUGUCACCCCGAACCAUGGCUUGGCUUUACCCGGUAAGCUUAAGGCACUGAAAUGGGUUGCACAGUG
ensembl:snoRNA